rnacentral:sRNA from 1 species
ACCACUCGAUCUCACCACUCUGCCUUGAAGUCGAGUAUCACCAUCACCACCACUCGACUGCGUACUCGAUGAAAAGCUUCAGAGCCUUCUUCAUUCCGCACUCAACCAGACACUCGAGCACGAGGAAGAAAAGAAGACUCCAGCUACUCACUCGACCACUUG